rnacentral:sRNA from 1 species
AUAUAGAUAAAUAUAAGCUAUAGUAUACAGUAGAAGGAACUUUUAGUUGCUCCAUUUUAAAGUAUAUGCUUUACUAGGCCUGUAAUGAAGUAUUCGGUUCAAAAUAAUAAGGCUGUGAGUGUACUGUACAUUUUUGUGGUACACAUUAAGCCAUUAAGAUUUUAUAUAGCCUGUUAGCCAACCUACAUAUAGAAAUACACAUCAAUACGGAAUUCCACUUUUGUUUUUAUACUCUGGUUUUUAUUGCAUUAUAUAACUUUAUAUAUUGUGAGGUCAGGUACCAAUAGAUGCACAUCAUAUCACAUUUUACUUGUGGACUGGUUCCCAGAUCAUACGAUAAUGCUAGGGGCAGGGCUGAAUAUGACAUCCAUUCCACCCCUGAAGUCAAGCACUUUAUCACUAGGAAACCAUUCCCCUCAUGACAAUGUAAGGAGUCAGUAGUAAAUGUCAAAGAAAACAAUCCAUGAUUUAACCAUGCUGAGCACUUGAUGGGCACUGGAGAAAUGGAAAGAUUUGUGCAGACUCCACCCUGUGGGUCAGUUCAUGAACAGAAUGAUAUACACAAAAUGUCAGGAGGCAGGAUUGGUGAAGUGGGAAAAUUAUCCAAGGAUCCUGACUGAUUACUGAUGCAUUCAUCUUCUAUAUCUCCAGGUAGCAAAAUCUGUUAUAUACUGGUAUGUCAUACUUUAAAAACAGAAUUUGCAUAUCUUUUUAAUGUGAAUUCAUCAUUAAAUGGAAACUCUGAUGGUUUUUGACAAUGUUUGAUAUAAUAUGUGUUUUGAUUUACAGAUAAAGAAUAUAUUAUUCUUGCUUUUAUUAUUUGCAAUAAUAACAUAGUUAAUUAUGUUUUUUGACGUAAUUUUCCUGUACAUCCAAAACUGUCAGACUUUCACCUGGUUUCUAUGUGACUAUGCAUCUCAAACAAGGGAAAAAAUUGUAUUUGACUGAACUGGCUGUAUAAGCUGAAUUAGUCCCCUUUAUAGAUUUUUGUCUGAGGCUUUGUGAACCCAAACAUGAAAUAGAAGAACCCAAACAUGAAAUAGAAAUAAUAGAUAACUAUACAAUCAUACAUGAUCAUAGACUCUUUGCUAGCAGAGUGGUUUCGGCAUCAGAUUUAGCCCACAGGUUCAAAUUCAAGUCAUUCCCUUUUUUUUUUUUCAAAUUGCAUUUAAAAAGCGAAUACCAUAAUAGCCUGUUCUUUCUUUCCCUACCCCUUUCUAACUGGUUCAGCCAAGUGAUAGGAUAAUAGCAUACCAGUAUUGAGAAUGCUAAUCACACAGAUUUAUUAUUGUUUCUCUAGAUCUAUUACAAAUUUAAUUACAUGACUCAUCCAAACUAAUAGAUAAACUUAAUAUAAACUUUGUUGUUGUUUUUUUUAAGUAUUUUUUUAAUUUUGCUUAUUAUUUUACUUUGUAAAGGCAGCUAGAGAACCUUCUCUCUCAUGUACUCCCC